GACGAACGCUGGCGGCGUGCUUAACACAUGCAAGUCGAACGAUGAAGCCGGAGCUUGCUCUGGUGAAUUAGUGGCGAACGGGUGAGUAACACGUGAGUAACCUGCCCUUGACUCUGGGAUAACUGCGGGAAACUGUAGCUAAUACCGGAUACGACCCUCGGAGGCAUCUCCUGGGGGUGGAAAGAAUUUCGGUCAAGGAUGGACUCGCGGCCUAUCAGCUAGUUGGUGAGGUAAAGGCUCACCAAGGCGACGACGGGUAGCCGGCCUGAGAGGGUGACCGGCCACACUGGGACUGAGACACGGCCCAGACUCCUACGGGAGGCAGCAGUGGGGAAUAUUGCUCAAUGGGCGCAAGCCUGAUGCAGCAACGCCGCGUGAGGGAUGACGGCCUUCGGGUUGUAAACCUCUUUUAGCAGGGAAGAAGCGAAAGUGACGGUACCCGCAGAAAAAGCACCGGCUAACUACGUGCCAGCCGCCGCGGUAA
rnacentral:rRNA from 1 species